rnacentral:tRNA from 1 species
UCCUGAGUAACAGUCGGUAAAGCAUCUGCCUGCAAUGCAGGAGACCUGGGUUCAAUUCCUGGGUCAGGAA